CCUACGGGAGGCAGCAGUGGGGAAUAUUGGACAAUGGGCGAAAGCCUGAUCCAGCCAUGCCGCGUGUGUGAAGAAGGCCUUCGGGUUGUAAAGCACUUUCAGUGGGGAAGAAAGCCUUGGGGCUAAUACCCUCGAGGAAGGACAUCACCCACAGAAGAAGCACCGGCUAACUCCGUGCCAGCAGCCGCGGUAACACGGAGGGUGCGAGCGUUAAUCGGAAUUACUGGGCGUAAAGCGCGCGUAGGCGGUCUGAUAAGCCGGUUGUGAAAGCCCCGGGCUCAACCUGGGAACGGCAUCCGGAACUGUCAGGCUAGAGUGCAGGAGAGGAAGGUAGAAUUCCCGGUGUAGCGGUGAAAUGCGUAGAGAUCGGGAGGAAUACCAGUGGCGAAGGCGGCCUUCUGGACUGACACUGACGCUGAGGUGCGAAAGCGUGGGUAGCAAACAGGAUUAGAUACCCGAGUAGUC
rnacentral:rRNA from 1 species